rnacentral:rRNA from 1 species
CAGUCGACGGAAGUGCUCUUCGGAGUGACUCGAGUGGCGAACGGGUGAGUAACACGUGGGUGAUCUGCCCUGCACUUUGGGAUAAGCCUGGGAAACUGGGUCUAAUACCGGAUAGGACCAUGGCCUUCAUGGUUUGUGGUGGAAAGCUUUUGCGGUGUGGGAUGGGCCCGCGGCCUAUCAGCUUGUUGGUGGGGUAAUGGCCUACCAAGGCGACGACGGGUAGCCGGCCUGAGAGGGUGUCCGGCCACACUGGGACUGAGAUACGGCCCAGACUCCUACGGGAGGCAGCAGUGGGGAAUAUUGCACAAUGGGCGCAAGCCUGAUGCAGCGACGCCGCGUGAGGGAUGACGGCCUUCGGGUUGUAAACCUCUUUCAAUAGGGACGAAGCGCAAGUGACGGUACCUAUAGAAGAAGCACCGGCCAACUACGUGCCAGCAGCCGCGGUAAUACGUAGGGUGCGAGCGUUGUCCGGAAUUACUGGGCGUAAAGAGCUCGUAGGUGGUUUGUCGCGUUGUUCGUGAAAACUCACAGCUUAACUGUGGGCGUGCGGGCGAUACGGGCAGACUGGAGUACUGCAGGGGAGACUGGAAUUCCUGGUGUAGCGGUGGAAUGCGCAGAUAUCAGGAGGAACACCGGUGGCGAAGGCGGGUCUCUGGGCAGUAACUGACGCUGAGGAGCGAAAGCGUGGGGAGCGAACAGGAUUAGAUACCCUGGUAGUCCACGCCGUAAACGGUGGGUACUAGGUGUGGGUUUCCUUCCUUGGGAUCCGUGCCGUAGCUAACGCAUUAAGUACCCCGCCUGGGGAGUACGGCCGCAAGGCUAAAACUCAAAGGAAUUGACGGGGGCCCGCACAAGCGGCGGAGCAUGUGGAUUAAUUCGAUGCAACGCGAAGAACCUUACCUGGGUUUGACAUGCACAGGACGCCGGCAGAGAUGUCG